rnacentral:rRNA from 1 species
AACGAACGCUGGCGGCGUGCCUAAUACAUGCAAGUCGAGCGGAUCUUCAUUAGCUUGCUUUUGAAGAUCAGCGGCGGACGGGUGAGUAACACGUGGGCAACCUGCCUGUAAGACUGGGAUAACUUCGGGAAACCGGAGCUAAUACCGGAUAAUCCUUUCCCUCACAUGAGGGAAAGCUGAAAGACGGUUUCGGCUGUCACUUACAGAUGGGCCCGCGGCGCAUUAGCUAGUUGGUGAGGUAACGGCUCACCAAGGCAACGAUGCGUAGCCGACCGGAGAGGGUGAUCGGCCACACUGGGACUGCGACACGGCCCAGACUCCUACGGGAGGCAGCAGUAGGGAAUCUUCCGCAAUGGACGAAAGUCUGACGGAGCAACGCCGCGUGAGCGAUGAAGGCCUUCGGGUCGUAAAGCUCUGUUGUCAGGGAAGAACAAGUACCGGAGUAACUGCCGGUACCUUGACGGUACCUGACCAGAAAGCCACGGCUAACUACGUGCCAGCCGCCGCGGUAAUAC